rnacentral:rRNA from 1 species
GUGUCAGCAGCCGCGGUAAUACAGAGACUGCAAGCGUUAUUCGGAUUCACUGGGCGUAAAGGGUGCGCAGGCGGCCGGGUGUGUCAGAUGUGAAAUCCCGAGGCUUAACCUCGGAACUGCGUCUGAAACUACUCGGCUAGAGUAUUGGAGAGGGUAACGGAAUUCACGGUGUAGCAGUGAAAUGCGUAGAUAUCGUGAGGAACACCAGAGGCGAAGGCGGUUACCUGGACAAUUACUGACGCUCAGGCACGAAAGCAUGGGGAGCAAAAGGGAUUAGAUACCCCCGUAGUCC